GAUGAACGCUGGUGGCGUGCCUAAUACAUGCAAGUCGAGCGAACGGACGAGAAGCUUGCUUCUCUGAUGUUAGCGGCGGACGGGUGAGUAACACGUGGAUAACCUACCUAUAAGACUGGGAUAACUUCGGGAAACCGGAGCUAAUACCGGAUAAUAUUUUGAACCGCAUGGUUCAAAAGUGAAAGACGGUCUUGCUGUCACUUAUAGAUGGAUCCGCGCUGCAUUAGCUAGUUGGUAAGGUAACGGCUUACCAAGGCAACGAUGCAUAGCCGACCUGAGAGGGUGAUCGGCCACGCUGGAAGUGAGACAGGGUCGGGAGGGGGGGGGGAGGCAGCAGUAGGGAAUCUUCCGCAAUGGGCGAAAGCCUGACGGAGCAACGCCGCGUGAGUGAUGAAGGUCUUCGGAUCGUAAAACUCUGUUAUUAGGGAAGAACAUAUGUGUAAGUAACUGUGCACAUCUUGACGGUACCUAACCAGAAAGCCACGGCUAACUACGUG
rnacentral:rRNA from 1 species